GACGAACGCUGGCGGCGUGCUUAACACAUGCCAGUCGAACGGAAAGGCCCUGCUUUUGUGGGGUGCUCGAGUGGCGAACGGGUGAGUAACACGUGAGUAACCUGCCCUAGACUUUGGGAUAACUUCAGGAAACUGGGGCUAAUACCGGAUAGGAGCUCCUGCUGCAUGGUGGGGGUUGGAAAGUUUCGGCGGUUGGGGAUGGACUCGCGGCUUAUCAGCUUGUUGGUGGGGUAGUGGCUUACCAAGGCUUUGACGGGUAGCCGGCCUGAGAGGGUGACCGGCCACAUUGGGACUGAGAUACGGCCCAGACUCCUACGGGAGGCAGCAGUGGGGAAUAUUGCACAAUGGGCGGAAGCCUGAUGCAGCAACGCCGCGUGCGGGAUGACGGCCUUCGGGUUGUAAACCGCUUUCGCCUGUGACGAAGCGUGAGUGACGGUAAUGGGUAAAGAAGCACCGGCUAACUACGUG
rnacentral:rRNA from 1 species